CUUUAAAAUUCUCUUGAAGACAGAUGAUAUCAUCACUAUAAGAAUUGGGUACCUAAAACUGUGCAAGGUACACUAAAGGACAGAUUGAGGGCAAUAUCACUGGACACUAGAAAUCUAUCAUGCAAAACCAAGGUCUAAUACAAAUUAUGGAGGAAAAUUACUGAGCACCAAAAUCUUCUUUAAAAAUCUUUCCUCAUUUAUGCAUUUUCCCCAGUGCUUCUUCUUCAUUGGUAUUAUUAAUCUGAAUGAGGAGUGAAAGGGCAGAAUAUCCUACAAUCAAAAUGUGGAAAGGAUUGUUCAGUACUUUGAUGAGGAAACUGAGACUUCAAGAAGGGUUUGAUAAUAAUCUUGUUCAUCAGGGUGACUGUUGUAUUUCUGAACAGAAUGCAGGCAAUGAUCCAAAGAUACAAUAAGGAAUCCAAAGGUAUGAAGAAGUAAUUCAUUUGAGGAAAUUAAAGAGUAGAAGAAUGUGAUUGGAGCUAUAUUAUAAAUGUUAGAUAUUUUUCAUAGAUGAUGGACCUUGAACCUCUAAAGAUGAAGCAGCUUCCUGUGUCUCCAAAGAAUGAUGAAAAGAAUGCAUUAUUGUCUAGCCUCAUUCAUUAACAGUCAAAGGAGAAAGGGACAAGAGGUGCUGAUUGAUUACUUUUUGCUCAGUAUUAAAACAGCCAUUUAAAAAAAUAACUUAUUCAACCAAGAUAUG
rnacentral:lncRNA from 1 species